rnacentral:tRNA from 1 species
GACCGCGUAGCUCAGUUGGAAGAGCAUUGGGCUAGUAUUCCAAAGGUCGUAGGUUCGAAUCCUACCGUGACCG